GGCAAAGUAGCCAAGCGGUCUAAGGCGCCAGGUUCAGGUCCACCUGAAUUUCAGCAUUCCCAUCUGAGAGUGUUUCCUGGUCUGAGAAAUCAGGCGCGAGUUCGAAUCUCGUCUUUGUCA